ACUUUUGGGCAAUGGGGGAAACCCUGAUCCAGCCAUCCCGCGUGUAUGAUGAAGGCCNNNGGGUUNUCAAGUACUUUCGUCAGNGACNAAAAGGUAUCUCCUAAUACGAGAUACUGCUGACGGUACCUGCAGAACAAGCACGGGCUAACGACGUGCCAGCAGCCGCGGUAAUACGUAGGGUGCAAGCGUUAAUCGGAAUUACUGGGCGUAAGGCGUGUGUAGGAGGUUCGGAAAGAAAGAUGAGAAAUCCCAGGGCUCAACCUUGGAACUGCAUUUUUAACUGCCGAGCUAGAGUAUGUCAGAGGGGGGUAGAAUUCCACGCGUAGCAGUGAAAUGCGUAGAUAUGUGGAGGAAUACCGAUGGCGAAGGCAGCCCCCUGGGAUAAUACUGACGCUCAGACACGAAAGCGUGGGGAGCAAACAG
rnacentral:rRNA from 1 species